ensembl:lncRNA
UCCCCGUCUCCCUCUCUCUCCCCGUCUCCCUCUCUCUCCCUCUCCCCGUCUCCCUCUCUCUCCCCGUCUCCCUCCCUCUCCCCGUCUCCCUCUCUCUCCCUCUCCCCGUCUCCCUCUCUCUCCCUCUCCCCCUCUCUCCGUCUCCCUCUCUAUGUUACUAAAGAGACGGCACUCAAGACAGCUAUACUGGAGAACAGUUAUUUAUUGAUGAGAAAAAUAAUGGAAUAACAAUAAACACGUUUUCGUGACCAAAAGCAGUGUCUUUUGAAAUAGACAGAUAUCAAAAUGUUGUAAUUGAACAUGAUUUGUAAAUAAUAAUAUAAAUAUGAGUGUUUUUUCCACAUUGCUUUGAGGUGUUGUUCAUUACAGAGCAUGUCUCAGCUCACUGCCCAUCCUGUCUACAUAAGGGCAAAGGGAAGGCUUAUAGCAACUGUGUGAAGGGUUAUAGAGGUUGUGUGAAGGGUUAUAGCACUACUGUAAUAUUCUGUCAAAUAAAUCUAAAAGCAUUGCUCAAACUAACGAGAUGUGGUUUUGUGUGUCCUUGGCUCUGAGAUGCUAAGGGAUCAUAUCACUCUUUCCUGCACUCAUAUUUCUUCCUCUUCUUUUCAAAUAAUCUCUCCCUUGGUCUUACUCUCUCUCACACACAGAAAAGGGAGUCACAGUGGCCAGCUAUUCUCAGCACCAAUGAGGGAAAGUGUAAAAUAUAGCCUAUCCCAGUGUCAAAACCGAAGCUUCAGAAGUCAGUGAUGGUGAAACCAGUCCUCAUACUCAGCUGGAGGAGAGACAGAACAAGAUGUCAUCACCAUUGACAAGUCAUUAUUACAUCACCAUUGACAAGUCAUUAUUACAUCACUAUUGACAAGUCAUUAUUACAUCACCAUUGACAAGUCAUUAUUACAUCACCAUUGAGAACUUCAGUUAGUUUAGUCCUGUUUUAAUAACAUGCUGUAUGAUAGUGUAUGAUGUGUGUUAUGGUAAACAAUAAAGGCCAUUUCUACUUCCUGUCUAUUUGAAUCAUAUUAUUCUUCCUUGUCCUCUUGUAGGGUUUUCCCUCAGAAACACAUAAAACCUUCAAAUGUAGUCAGUUAUACUGCCAAGAGAAAAACAGCAUUGACGGGUUAAAUAUUAGCUUAACAAGAAAUCAAUGGUUACACGGUUACAUCCAGAAAAAGACUGGAGCUCGAAACACUGACAAUCUUUUCAGAUUGUAUAGAGUAUAGGAGAAAGCACUGUAGGAUAAUGCCCUAGGGAAUGGGUAUAGGAGAAAGCACUGUAGGAUAAUGUGCAAGGAAAUGAGUAUAGGAGAAAGCACUGUAGGAUAAUGCGCUAGGGAAUGGGUAUAGGAGAAAGCACUGUAGGAUAAUGCGCUAGGGAAUGGGUAUAGGAGAAAGCACUGUAGGAUAAUGGCCUAGGGAAUGGGUAUAGGAGAAAGUACUGUAGGAUAAGGCGUUAGGGAAUGGGUAGGGGAGAAAGCACUGUAGGAUAAUGUGCUAGGGAUUGGGAAGGGGAGAAAGCACUGUAGGAUAAUGCGCUAGGGAAUGGGAAGGGGAGAAAGCACUGUAGGAUAAUGCGCUAGGGAAUGGGAAGGGAUAUAGGAGAAAGCACUGUAGGAUAAUGCGCAAGGGAAUGGGAAGGGGAGAAAGCACUGUAGGAUAAGGCGCUAGGGAAUGGGAAGGAAUAUAGGAGAAAGUACUGUAGGAUAAGGCGCUAGGGAAUGGGAAGGGAUAUAGGAGAAAGCACUGUAAAAUAAUGCCCUAGGGAAUGGGAAGGGGAGAAAGCAAUGUAGGAAAAGGCGCUAGGGAAUGGGAAGGGAUAUAGGAGAACGCACUGUAAAAUAAUGCCCUAGGGAAUGGGAAGGGGAGAAAGCACUAUAGGAUAAGGCGCUAGGGAAUGGGAAGGGGAGAAAGCACUGUAGGAUAAGGCGCUAGGGAAUGGGUAGGGGAGAAAGUACUGUAGGAUAAGGCGCUAGGGAAUGGGAAGGGGAGAAAGCACUGUAGGAUAAGGCGCUAGGGAAUGGGUAGGGGAGAAAGUACUGUAGGAUAAGGCGCUAGGGAAUGGGUAGGGGAGAAAGUACUGUAGGAUAAGGCGCUAGGGAAUGGGUAGGGGAGAAAGUACUGUAGGAUAAGGCGCUAGGGAAUGGGAAGGGGAGAAAACACUGUAGGAUAAGGCGCUAGGGAAUGGGAAGGGGUAUAGGAGAAAGUACUGUAGGAUAAGGCGCUAGGGAAUGGGUAGGGGAGAAAGUACUGUAGGAUAAGGCGCUAGGGAAUGGGAAGGGGAGAAAGCACUGUAGGAUAAGGCGCUAGGGAAUGGGAAGGGGAGAAAGCACUGUAGGAUAAGGCGCUAGGGAAUGGGUAGGGGGGAAAGUACUGUAGGAUAAGGCGCUAGGGAAUGGGUAGGGUUGAAAGCACUGUAAGAUAAGGCGCUAGGGAAUGGGUAGGGGAGAAAGCACUGUAGGAUAAUGCGCUAUGGAAUGGGUAUAGGAGAAAGCACUGUAGGAUAAUGGCCUAGGGAAUGGGUAUAGGAGAAAGUACUGUAGGAUAAGGCGUUAGGGAAUGGGUAGGGGAGAAAGCACUGUAGGAUAAUGUGCUAGGGAUUGGGAAGGGGAGAAAGCACUGUAGGAUAAUGCGCUAGGGAAUGGGAAGGGGAGAAAGCACUGUAGGAUAAUGCGCUAGGGAAUGGGAAGGGAUAUAGGAGAAAGCACUGUAGGAUAAUGCGCAAGGGAAUGGGAAGGGGAGAAAGCACUGUAGGAUAAGGCGCUAGGGAAUGGGAAGGAAUAUAGGAGAAAGUACUGUAGGAUAAGGCGCUAGGGAAUGGGAAGGGAUAUAGGAGAAAGCACUGUAAAAUAAUGCCCUAGGGAAUGGGAAGGGGAGAAAGCAAUGUAGGAAAAGGCGCUAGGGAAUGGGAAGGGAUAUAGGAGAACGCACUGUAAAAUAAUGCCCUAGGGAAUGGGAAGGGGAGAAAGCACUAUAGGAUAAGGCGCUAGGGAAUGGGAAGGGGAGAAAGCACUGUAGGAUAAGGCGCUAGGGAAUGGGAAGGGAUAUAGGAGAAAGCACUGUAAAAUAAUGCCCUAGGGAAUGGGAAGGGGAGAAACCACUGUAGGAUAAGGCGCUAGGGAAUGGGAAGGGAUAUAGGAGAAAGCACUGUAAAAUAAUGCCCUAGGGAAUGGGAAGGGGAGAAAGCACUGUAGGAUAAGGCGCUAGGGAAUGGGAAGGGAUAUAGGAGAACGCACUGUAAAAUAAUGCCCUAGGGAAUGGGAAGGGGAGAAAACACUGUAGGAUAAGGCGCUAGGGAAUGGGUAGGGGAGAAAGUACUGUAGGAUAAGGCGCUAGGGAAUGGGAAGGGGAGAAAGCACUGUAGGAUAAGGCGCUAGGGAAUGGGUAGGGGAGAAAGUACUGUAGGAUAAGGCGCUAGGGAAUGGUAUAGGAGAAAGCACUGUAGGAUAAGGCGCUAGGGAAUGGGUAGGGGACAAAGUACUGUAGGAUAAGGCGCUAGGAAAUGGGUAUAGGAGAAAGUACUGUAGGAUAAGGCGCUAGGGAAUGGGUAUAGGAGAAAGUACUGUAGGAUAAGGCGCUAGGGAAUGGGUAGGGGAGAAAGUACUGUAGGAUAAGGCGCUAGGGAAUGGGUAUAGGAGAAAGCACUGUAGGAUAAGGCGCUAGGGAAUGGGUAGGGGAGAAAGUACUGUAGGAUAAGGCGCUAGGGAAUGGGUCUACGAGAAAGUAAUGUAGGAUAAGGCGCUAGGGAAUGGGUAUAGGAGAAAGUACUGUAGGAUAAGGCGCUAGGGAAUGGGUAGGGGAGAAAGUACUGUAGGAUAAGGCGCUAGGGAAUGGGUAGGGGAGAAAGUACUGUAGGAUAAGGCGCUAGGGAAUGGGUAGGGGAGAAAGCACUGUAGGAUAAGGCGCUAGGGAAUGGGUAGGGGAGAAAGCACUGUAGGAUAAGGCGCUAGGGAAUGGGUAGGGGAGAAAGCACUGUAGGAUAAGGCGCUAGGGAAUGGGCAGGGGAGAAAGUACUGUAGGAUAAGGCGCUAGGGAAUGGGCAGGGGAGAAAGUACUGUAGGAUAAGGCGCUAGGGAAUGGGCAGGGGAGAAAGUACUGUAGGAUAAGGUGCUAGGGAAUGGGUAGGGGAGAAAUUACUGUAGGAUAAGGCGCUAGGGAAUGGGUAGGGGAGAAAGUACUGUAGGAUAAGGCGCUAGGGAAUGGGUAGGGGAGAAAGUACUGUAGGAUAAGGCACUAGGGAAUGGGUAGGGGAGAAAGUACUGUAGGAUAAGGCGCUAGGGAAUGGGUAGGGGAGAAAGUACUGUAGGAUAAGGCACUAGGGAAUGGGAAGGGAUAUAGGAGAAAGCAUUUAAAAGCAAAUACUUUUACUCAAGUAGUAUUUUACUGUGUGACUUUCACUUUUACCAUUUUCUUUAACCUUGAUUUAACUAGGCAAGUCAGUUAAGAACAAAUUCUUAUUUACAAUGACGGCCUUCCCCGGCCAAACCCUAAUCCAGACGACACUGGGCCUUCCCCAGCCAAACCCUAAUCCAGACGACACUGGGCCUUCUCCGGCCAAACCCUAAUCCAGACGACACUGGGCCUUCUCCGGCCAAACCCUAAUCCAGACGACACUGGGCCUUCCCGGCCAAACCCUAAUCCAGACGACACUGGGCCUUCCCCGGCCAAACCCUAAAUCCAGACGACACUGGGCCUUCCCCGGCCAAACCCUAAUCCAGACGACACUGGGCCUUCCCCGGCCAAACCCUAAUCCCGACCACACUGGGCCUUCCCCGGCCAAACCCUAAUCCCGACCACACUGGGCCAAUUGUGCGACGCACUAUGGGACUCCCAAUCACAGCCGGAUGUGAUACAGCCUGGAAUCAAACCAGGGUCUGUAGUGACGCCUUUACUGAGAUGCAGUGCCUUUUUCUAUUAAGGUAUCUUUACUUUUACUCAAGUAUGACAAUUGGGUACUUUUUCCACUAUUGAUGUUAGUGCCACGGAAUUCAUUUAAAAUAUUGAUGGGAGACUCUGUUACAGAGGAGUGUAAAUGCUUUUUCUUAGGCUGGAUCACGUUGUUGUAUUGUAUUGUUGUAUGUUUUAAUUCUGUAAUGUAUUGAUUGUUAAUGCCUUCUUGGCCAGGUCUCCCUUGAAAAAGAGACUGUGUCUCAAUAGGCUUUUCCUGGGUAAAUAAAAAUAAAAAUGGAAAGGGGGUAUAGAAGGCACUGUAGGAUAAGGCCCUAGGGAAUGGGACUAGGAUAUAGGAGAUGGAAUGGGACUAGGGUAUAGGAGAUGGAAUGGGACUAGGGUAUAGGAGAUGGAAUGGGACUAGGGUAUAGGAGAUGGAAUGGGACUAGGAUAUAGGAGAUGGAAUGGGACUAGGAUAUAGGAGAUGGAAUGGGACUAGGAUAUAGGAGAUGGAAUGGGACUAGGAUAUAGGAGAUGGAAUGGGACUAGGGUAUAGGAGAUGGAAUGGGACUAGGAUAUAGGAGAUGGAAUGGGACUAGGAUAUAGGAGAUGGAAUGGGACUAGGAUAUAGGAGAUGGAAUGGGACUAGGAUAUAGGAGAUGGAAUGGGACUAGGGUAUAGGAGAUGGAAUGGGACUAGGGUAUAGGAGAUGGAAUGGGACUAGGAUAUAGGAGAUGGAAUGGGACUAGGGUAUAGGAGAUGGAAUGGGACUAGGGUAUAGGAGAUGGAAUGGGACUAGGGUAUAGGAGAUGGAAUGUGACUAGGGUAUAGGAGAUGGAAUGGGACUAGGGUAUAGGAUAUGAAAUGGGACUAGGGUAUAGGAGAUGAAAUGGGACUAGGGUAUAGGAGAUGGAAUGGGACUAGGAUAUAGGAGAUGGAAUGGGACUAGGAUAUAGGAGAUGGAAUGGGACUAGGGUAUAGGAGAUGGAAUGGGACUAGGGUAUAGGAGAUGGAAUGGGACUAGGAUAUAGGAGAUGGAAUGGGACUAGGGUAUAGGAGAUGGAAUGGGACUAGGGUAUAGGAGAUGGAAUGGGACUAGGGUAUAGGAAAUGGAAUGGGACUAGGGUAUAGGAGAUGGAAUGGGACUAGGGUAUAGGAGAUGGAAUGGGACUAGGGUAUAGGAGAUGGAAUGGGACUAGGGUAUAGGAGAUGGAAUGGGACUAGGGUAUAGGAGAUGGAAUGGGACUAGAGUAUAGGAGAUGGAAUGGGACUAGGGUAUAGGAGAUGGAAUGGGACUAGAGUAUAGGAGAUGGAAUGGGACUAGAGUAUAGGAGAUGGAAUGGGACUAGGGUAUAGGAGAUGGAAUGGGACUAGAGUAUAGGAGAUGGAAUGGGACUAGGGUAUAGGAGAUGGAAUGGGACUAGGGUAUAGGAGAUGGAAUGGGACUAGGGUAUAGGAGAUGGAAUGGGACUAGGGUAUAGGAGAUGGAAUGGGACUAGAGUAUAGGAGAUGGAAUGGGACUAGGGUAUAGGAGAUGGAAUGGGACUAGGGUAUAGGAGAUGGAAUGGGAGAGUGGGGUAGAGGAGAGACAGGCCCUAGGGAAUGGGACUAGGGUAUAGGAGAUGGAAUCAGAGAGGGGGGGGUAGAGGAGAGACAGGAGAAGGCACUGUAGGAUAAGCAGGGUUGGGUAGGUUACUUUCUAAACAAGUUACCUGUCCAAAAUUGUAAUCAGAAAUAAAACUUUUGGAUUACCCAAACUCAGUAACAUAAUCUGAUUACAUUACAUUUAUUUUAGAUGACUUUCCCCUUAAGAGGUAUAAGAAGAAGACAAAAAUGUAUGUUACCAAUUGAACGACAUUGCAGGAUAAAUCAAUGUUAAAGUUUACAUAGCUGGUCAUAAAUGGGUGUUACAUUUGACUUUAUGGGUUAUGUAGGCUUCUUCUAACCCAUCGCUUUCUACUCCAACGAUUAAACUAUAUAUUUACAUUAAAAACCAGUCUAUCAGAAUUCCAGUCAUUACAAUAAAUGAUAUACCCCUUGACCUUCAAGAAUAGGACUUGGAAAUACAGAAGUAUAGAUCAGCCAAACGGUUUUAUCUGAGUAUAACCCCAAAACGAAGGACUUAUUAGCCAGCCCUACUGUGUUGUUUAUGAUUUUGUCGUUGAGGACUGAUUGGGUUUAUUGAUUCUAAUUGAAAAAAUAAAUGCUUCGCUCGUGGAAUGGCAAGCUUUGAACACUGAAAAGUGCUAUUUACAUGUGAAAAAUGAAUGCCAUGUGCUGCAUUUGCUAUAUGUCUAUUGUUUACCUUUUAGUUGGCGACACUUUGAUAUCUUGAUAAUAUGCAGCUGUUUAAAGGGCAACUCCACAGAUGAAACAAUAACAAAAUGGGCACCCCGCCUCUGUUUUGGUAAAAAGCGGAGGGAUGGGCCUGGAGAAAUGUAACCACUCUCAGAUGAAUAGACAGAGCUACGGAUGUAAGGACUGACCAUCCAUGAUAUCAAAAUUAUAGUUUUAACUACAGUAUGUUAUGAGGCUAUACCUUGUUUGAUUACAUUUACAAUGUUUACAAACAUUGGAGAAAAACAAGCUUCUAUUUUGGGUUCUGAUGGAGUGUGGCUGUUGAACUAAGCUCAUGAGGCAUUUAUAAGUUAUAUUCUUCAACAAUUAAUGGAUAUAUACAGGUAUAUAUAAUGUAUAAGUCCAAAAAUGGAUGUACCAUCUACAGAUUGACCCUUUAAGUCUAUCAAAAGUGAAGGAGUUUGAGCAUGUGUCCAGUAGGCCUAUGGAUUUAUUUUUAUCAACUUGAAUUAUAUUGUGCAAUAAAAGCACCACGUUUAUUCCAUAUGCUGGGAUCCGCACUAUGCAGCUGUUAUUCCAUAUGCUGGGAUCUGCACUAUGCAGCUGUUAUUCCAUAUGCUGGGAUCCGCACUAUGCGGCUGUUAUUCCAUAUGCUGGGAUCCGCACUGUGCAGCUGUUAUUCCAUAUGCUGGGAUCUGCACUAUGCAGCUGUUAUUCCAUAUGCUGGGAUCCGCACUAUGCAGCUGUUAUUCCAUAUGCUGGGAUCCGCACUAUGCAGCUGUUAUUCCAUAUGCUGGGAUCCGCACUAUGCAGCUGUUAUUCCAUAUGCUGGGAUCUGCACUGUGCAGCUGUUAUUCCAUAUGCUGGGAUCUGCACUAUGCAGCUGUUAUUCCAUAUGCUGGGAUCUGCACUGUGCAGCUGUUAUUCCAUAUGCUGGGAUCUGCACUAUGCAGCUGUUAUUCCAUUAGCUGGGAUCCGCACUAUGCAGCUGUUAUUCCAUAUGCUGGGAUCCGCACUAUGCAGCUGUUAUUCCAUUAGCUGGGAUCCGCACUAUGCAGCUGUUAUUCCAUAUGCUGGGAUCUGCACUGUGCAGCUGUUAUUCCAUAUGCUGGGAUCCGCACUAUGCAGCUGUUAUUCCAUAUGCUGGGAUCUGCACUGUGCAGCUGUUAUUCCAUAUGCUGGGAUCUGCACUAUGCAGCUGUUAUUCCAUAUGCUGGGAUCCGCACUAUGCAGCUGUUAUUCCAUAUGCUGGGAUCCGCACUAUGCAACUGUUAUUCCAUAUGCUGGGAUCCGCACUAUGCAACUUCUUGAAUUCAACCAUUAUUGGGUUCAAAACCACAUUUAGAUUUGUGAACAUACAACCACAAUCCGUAAGGCAAAAAUAGCUAAAUAAGAGAGCAGCAGUGUGAUUCACAUCAAUACGCUAUGUAGAUAUCAGUAAUUAGUGAUAUCGGUAUCACUGUAGACGACACCACUACUGUCAUCCUUUACCUCCAAGCCUUUAUUCAAGUUGGAUCAUCUUUGGAUGCCGACAGCAGUCACACCAUUGGAAGACAUGGCUUGGACUGAAACCCACAAUAGCCCUUUCCUGCUCUUUUCCCGCGAUCCAUCAAACACAUUUGAUGUGUUAUCAUAGUGGUCUCUGACUUGUGGUCAGACUCGCUCAGGUGGAACAAACUUAAUACAUUUGCGCCUUCUUCAAUGCUGAUUUGAAUGUCAUUGAGAAAACAGAGAGGUGUCAAUAUUUUUUUUCAGAAACAUCCUUUCUGAAUUUAAAAGUAACCCUGGAAAUAAUCUUCUAGUUUUUCAAAAGUAUCUGUAAUCUGAUUACAAUAUUUUCGUUUGUAACGGAUUACAGUUACCGUUACAUGUAAACUCCCCAACCCUGAGGAUAAGGCACUGGAGAAUGAGAGAGAGGGGGUAGAGAGAAAGGAAUGGGAGAGAGGGAAUAGAGGAGAUGGAAUGGGAGAGUGGGUGUCGAGGAGAAGGAAUGGGAGAGGGGGGAUAGAGGAGAUGGAAUGGGAGAGAGGGGAUAGAGGAGAAGGAAUGGGAGAGAGGGAAUAGAGGAGAAGGAAUGGGAGAGGGGGAAUAGAGGAGAAGGAAUGGGAGAGGGGGUAGAUGGGAAGAAAUGGGACAGAGGGGAUAGAGGAUAAGGAAUGGGAGAGGGGGUGUCGAGGAGAAGGAAUGGGAGAGAGGGGAUAGAGGAGAUGGAAUGGGAGAGAGGGAUAGAGGAGAAGGAAUGGGAGAGAGGGGAUAGAAGAGAUGGAAUGGGAGAGAGGGGAUAGAGGAAAAGGAAUGGGAGAGAGGGAAUAGAGGAGAUGGAAUGGGAGAGGGGGUAGAUGGGAAGAAAUGGGACAGAGGGGAUAGAGGAUAAGGAAUGGGAGAGAGGGAAUAGAGGAGAAGGAAUGGGAGAGGGGGUAGAUGGGAAGAAAUGGGACAGAGGGGAUAGAGGAUAAGGAAUGGGAGAGGGGGUGUCGAGGAGAAGGAAUGGAAGAGAGGGAUAGAGGAGAUGGAAUGGGAGAGGGGGUGUCGAGGAGAAGGAAUGGGAGGGAGGGGAUAGAGGAUAAGGAAUGGGAGAGGGGGUGUCGAGGAGAAGGAAUGGGGGAGAGGGGAUAGAGGAGAUGGAAUGGGAGAGAGGGGAUAGAGGAGAUGGAAUGGGGGAGAGGGGAUAGAAGAGAAGGAAUGGGAGGGGCUGCUUUAUGCUAAAGAUUAAACAACUUGUGACAUCAUCAGAUAAACACUCAAUUCUAUCACGUAUCUCCUGUUUCCACUCGUUCCUAUUUUUUUACAACAGUCAAAGAACGUCAACAUAUACAUUUAUAUAAAACAUAAUCAUGAACGUUAAAGUUUAAUGUCAAAAACAGUCCUUUAUAUGACUUGGUGUGUCUUCAGUUUUUAUCCUGUGUUCCUACUGAGGUUGCCAGGACAACAGCACCACCAUGUGGUGACGUGAACAACCAGCAGCCUGUGGUGUCUGCCAGUGUGUCUCAGUCAGGAUCCAUCCUGGGGACCCACUGUGUGUAGGCUGGACUUCCCUCCAGCUCAGCAUCAAUAAGACACUAAUUAGUACAUGGACAACUGCAUGAUGGGUACAGUAGUUUGUGCUACUGAAGGAAGGGGGCCUUGGACACCAGCACAGCUCAACAAAACAACAACAUUAUGUGUUGAGAAGAGGUUCAGUCACACUGAUAGAGGAAGGCCUUAGUGCUGGUGUGGUUUCUUCCCUUCAUCUCUGAAACAUAAAACGUGCACACUACACUACAUUGAUGAAAGCUAAAAAUCUAUCUGCAAAAUUAAAGCUGAAAAAAAAAGUAAUUAAAAAAUAAAAUAACAAAUACAAAUACAAAAAAAAUAAAACAUAAAACGUGCCCAGUAAAAAACACUGAACCACUGAACACAUAAUCAUGCUGAUAAUCCUAUUUGUGAAUAACAACAAUAAUGAUCAACUCAGUUCUCACAGGGUGUGUAGCCUGAUGAUGCCACUGAAUGUCUUCUCCAUCCCAGGAGCCAAAUGGUUUCUGAGGGCGAGGGGAGGGGCGUGGAGUGUUGGGGUAGGGGUCUGUUAGGGGGGCGUGGAGUGUUGGGAUAGGGGUCUGUUAGGGGGCGUGGAGUGUUGGGGUAGGGGUCUGUUAGGGGGCGGGAGUGUUGGGAUAGGGGUCUGUUAGGGGGCGUGGAGUGUUGGGAUAGGGGUCUGUUAGGGGGCGUGGAGUGUUGGGAUAGGGGUCUGUUAGGGGG